rnacentral:lncRNA from 1 species
UCCUACGGUUUCUUCUUCUUGGAUCUUCUAGGGCUCCGCUCCGGUCUUUUUCGAUUCCUUAUCGGCUGAGAUAUUUCCUCCUCCUUUUCUCUUUAUCCGUUCUUCAGAAGGUGGUUUGAGUUCCCACCGACCAUAGAAUGCUUAUGACCGAGAGGGUGCCCCUCUUUGCUUGCAGGGGCGAACGACGGGCGCACCAAACACAGAGGGUGACGUGGGCUGCGUCGUGGCAUUUCGUCGCCGGAGAGGAGGAACGAGGAGACGAGCUAGGGCUUGAGAUCGGGAUGCAGAAUGAGAAGGAAGAACGGCCCGCUUGUUUUUUGUUGUGAAUUUGAGUUCUGACGACACUUUUUUGUCGUCUUAGGCCAUAAUCUACCACGACGCUAAUUAGCGUCGUCUAUGGCCGACGCUUUUAGAAAGCGUCGGCAUAUGUUGGGGUUGGACGGAAAAUCGCCGACGCUUGUAAAAAGCGUCGGCAGAAAAGGGUCGGUAAAACCCCAUUUUUUUGUAGUG